GCUGUGGCUCAGAGGCAGAGAAUCUGCCUUGCAAGCAGAAGGUCCCAGGUUCAAUCCCAGACAUCUCCA
rnacentral:tRNA from 1 species